GGCGGUGGCGCGCGCCUGUGGCGAUCGCGUGUGAGGUGAGGUCUGUCCCGGAAAUCUCUACCACUGCCCCUCCCCCGUGUGGGAUUUUGGCAAUUUUGUGCAACCUAGAACACAUGAGGGCUGGAGGAGGAUGGGGUGUAGGGGCAGAUACACGAUACGGAGUUACCAAGGCGGAAGUGAGUGCACGUGGAGGACUGGAUUGCUUCGGAGCAGCAGGUGUAUCUUGAAGCCACGUAGCCAUCCAUCAUCAUCUUACUGUGGUGGCUGAGGCGGGAGGAUCCUGAGUUAACAUCCAGACUGGACUACAUACAAAAAUAAGAGUCUUCUCUCCAGCAACCACCUACGUCUUCUAUAAUGGGUGAAUCUGGAAAGAUGUCUUGAGUUUUGUGAGCCUCUUGAGCCAUCUUCUCCCCUGGACUGCAGAAACACCUGCACCACAAACAGAAGUGCUCCUCUGUGUAGAGGUCAGAGGUCAAAGCCAAAGGUCUUGUUUGAUUGCUUUUCACCUAUUGUGAUCAUUCUCACUGAACCUGGAGUUCACUGAUUUGGCCAGCAAGCCCCAGGAAUUCUCCUGUCUCUACCUCUAGUGCCGAGGUGGCUGGCACAAGCACCAUGCCUGGCUUUUUAUAGGCGAGCUAGGGAAUCAAACUCAGGUCCUCACACUUAAGUACUUACCCACUGAGUCACCCCUGAGCUCCUUUGCUGGGGUGGGGGGGGGAUUACUUAAAAAAUGGUGAAGACAUCUUUGUGAGUCACCGAAGGUCAUUCCACUGGCAGGCGUCAGAGCUGGGAUUAAGCCCACACUGGCAUCACCCUAGGUGGCUUCUCACCAUGUGUGUCCCCCUCUCAGUGUCCAGCCUGAGGUAUCACUGCAAAGAGUGGGGCCCCUCCAGUGGUGCAUUCCCUCUAUGCACAGCUGGUAGCCAUCAGUGGGAGGUGGAGGCAGUUACACGCACACGCGUGCAUGCACACACACACACGUAUCUCCCCUCUCCUCUGUACCUCUAAUAACCUGGAAAGUCAUUUUAAAGGUAUAAAGAGGAGUCAGGAACCUACAAAGAACACUGAGUGGUCACAGUCAAAGUGCCUUGCUGCUGUCUCUGUGGUCCAGAGCUCAGAAGCUGCCACCUACCAGCACCAGGCUUCACACCACGAUGAACAUUCUGCCACCUUCACAAGCUGGGGGACCAAAUUCUAGGCUAAGUCCUGACUGUUAGUUCCCACCCUUGCAUCUGGCAGACACGAGGAUGCCAUUUUGCCUGUACCACUGGACCCCGUCUUUACACCUCAGUCAUUCUCCUGCCUCAACAUACCAGAGCCAAUCUGUUCCUUCCCUGCUCACAACUCUCCCAUGGCUCCCCAGCACACUCUAGGGAAGAAAAGAGAACCCAGUGUGGAGAUCCAGGUCCGUACUCUCCAAUCUCAUAGGUCUUCAUGCUGGAUUUAGGUACCAUGAGUGACAUUACACACCCACAUCCCCUUCCCCACCAAUCCCCAGUGUGAAUGUCUCUUCUACCCAAAAUGCCCUUCCCUGGUCUCCAUGGUCACCAUUCUGGUCUCCCCGACAACCCCCUCCCAUUCUCGGAGCCUCUUUCCUGUCUGACUCCGAGGUCUGGGUGAGGGAGGCCAAGUGCUGUGCGGCUAGGACCCAUGGCUAUGAACUUGCAGGAAGUGAGGACAGGUGAAGGGGCUGGGGCAGAGGUGGGGGGAGGGAGGGGAGGGAGCUGACUCCUGACCUCCUCCCCCAGAAUGUGACCUUGGCCAUGGCCGUGUUCACCAUCCUAGCCUCCAUCUACUUCUUCAACAAGGUGAGGGGGAGGCGGGGUGAGAGGGCUCUGUCUCUCCUGUCUCUCUUCAUUUGGCCCUGGAGCUUUUACUAUCCUGAGCUGCCACGUGUCUACAUUGUACUUCUAUCUCUGCUCUAGGCUCAGCAGUAAGAAGGCAUGACGCCCCACUCCACCAGCUUGGCCCCCGCCUGCUCUGCCAUUGCGCUGGCCUCUGAGAUCCAAUAAAUGUAACAGCACC
ensembl:processed_transcript Gm28496 predicted gene 28496